rnacentral:rRNA from 1 species
UGGGGAAUAUUGGACAAUGGGCGCAAGCCUGAUCCAGCAAUGCCGCGUGUGUGAAGAAGGCCUUCGGGUUGUAAAGCACUUUUAUCAGGAGCGAAACGCUGUCGGCUAAUACCCGGCGGAACUGACGGUACCUGAGGAAUAAGCACCGGCUAACUUCGUGCCAGCAGCCGCGGUAAUACGAAGGGUGCAAGCGUUAAUCGGAAUUACUGGGCGUAAAGCGUGCGUAGGCGGUUUCUUAAGUCUGCUGUGAAAUCCCCGGGCUCAACCUGGGAAUGGCAGUGGAUACUGGGAGGCUAGAGUGUGUCAGAGGGUGGUGGAAUUCCCGGUGUAGCGGUGAAAUGCGUAGAGAUCGGGAGGAACAUCAGUGGCGAAGGCGGCCACCUGGGACAACACUGACGCUGAGGCACGAAAGUGUGGGGAGCAAACAGGAUUAGAUACCCUGGUAGUCCACGCCCUAAACGAUGCGAACUGGAUGUUGGUCUCAACUCGGAGAUCAGUGUCGAAGCUAACGCGUUAAGUUCGCCGCCUGGGGAGUACGGUCGCAAGACUGAAACUCAAAGGAAUUGACGGGGUCAUAGCUGUUUCC